UACGUAGGGGGCAAGCGUUGUCCGGAUUUAUUGGGCGUAAAGAGCGUGUAGGCGGCUAGGUAGGUCCGCUGUGAAAACUCGAGGCUCAACCUCGAGACGCCGAUGGAAACCAUCUAGCUAGAGUCCGGAAGAGGAAAGUGGAAUUCCUGGUGUAGCGGUGAAAUGCGCAGAUAUCAGGAAGAACACCCGUGGCUAAGGCGCCUCUCUAGUACGGUACUGACGCUGAGACGCGAAAGCGUGGGGAGCGAACAGG
rnacentral:rRNA from 1 species